GUGGGCGGGGCUGCGGGUUGUCUUCCUGCUCCACUAUCUGCCAGGUGUUCUUCACUCUCUGCAGGGUCAUCUUCAUCGAUCAGUGCGCUCUCCGUCCGCCUUCUCCCGGUUGCUUUUGUGGAAACAUGGCGGCGCCUCUGACCGAUCAGGAGAAGCGGAAACAGAUCAGCGUUCGGGGCAUCGCCGGCCUCGGAGAUGUGGCGGAAAUCAAGCGGAGUUUUAACCGACACCUUCACUUCACCCUGGUGAAGGACCGGAACGUAGCGACUCCCCGGGACUACUACUUCGCCCUGGCACACACAGUCCGGGACCACCUGGUGGGCCGCUGGAUCCGCACCCAGCAGUACUACUAUGAGAAAGACCCCAAGAGGGUUUAUUAUCUGUCUCUGGAGUUCUACAUGGGCAGAACGCUGCAGAACACCAUGAUCAACCUGGGCCUGCAGAACGCCUGCGAUGAGGCUGUCUACCAGCUGGGUUUGGACAUGGAGGACCUGGAGGAGAUUGAGGAGGAUGCUGGUCUGGGAAAUGGUGGACUGGGACGACUGGCAGCGUGUUUCCUGGACUCCAUGGCGACUCUCGGCCUGGCGGCGUAUGGCUACGGUAUUCGUUAUGAGUUCGGCAUCUUCAACCAGAAGAUCAGCAACGGAUGGCAGGUGGAGGAGGCAGAUGAUUGGCUGAGGUACGGGAACCCCUGGGAGAAGGCGAGACCCGAGUACAUGUUGCCGGUUCACUUCUACGGCCGAGUGGAGACGACGGAGAGUGGUGUGAAGUGGGUCGACACACAGGUGGUGUUGGCGAUGCCCUAUGACACUCCAGUUCCUGGUUACCAUAACAACACUGUGAACACGAUGCGGCUGUGGUCGGCUAAAGCUCCGAACGACUUCAAACUGCAGAACUUUAAUGUUGGUGAUUACGUCGAAGCUGUUCUGGACAGAAACCUGGCAGAAAACAUCUCCAGAGUCCUCUACCCUAAUGACAAUUUUUUCGAGGGGAAGGAGCUGCGUCUGAAGCAGGAGUACUUCGUGGUCGCAGCCACGCUGCAGGACAUCAUCCGCAGGUUCAAAUCCUCCAAGUUUGGCUGCAGGGACCCCGUGAGGACUUCCUUCGACUCGUUUCCCAACAAGGUGGCCAUCCAGCUGAACGACACCCACCCAGCGCUGGCCAUCCCCGAGCUGAUGAGGAUCCUGGUGGACGUGGAGAAGCUAGACUGGGACAAGGCGUGGGACAUCACCUGCCGUACCUGCGCAUACACCAACCACACGGUGCUGCCCGAGGCGUUGGAGCGCUGGCCCGUGUUCCUGUUCGAACAGCUGCUGCCUCGACACCUGCUCAUCAUCUACGACAUCAACCAGAGACACCUGGACAGGGUGGCGGCCAUGUUCCCCGGCGACGUCGACCGUCUGCGUCGGAUGUCUCUGAUCGAGGAGGGAGAGCCGAAGAGGAUCAACAUGGCUCACCUGUGUGUGGUCGGGUCUCACGCCGUCAACGGAGUCGCUCAGAUUCAUUCAGACAUCGUCAGGACCACCGUCUUUAGAGAUUUCCAUGAGGUGAAUCCUGAGAAGUUUCAGAAUAAAACCAACGGCAUCACUCCUCGCCGCUGGCUGCUGCUGUGUAACCCCGCCCUCGCUGACAUCAUCGCUGAGAGGAUCGGAGACGACUUCCUUGCUGACCUGCAGCAGCUGAAGAAAAUCCUGCAGUUUGUCGAUGACGAGGCCUUCAUCAGAGAUGUGUCCAGAGUCAAACAGGAGAACAAGCUGAAGUUCGCCUCCUACCUGCAGCAGCACCACCAGGUGAAGGUGAACCCAGACUCCAUCUUUGACGUGCAGGUGAAGAGGAUCCACGAGUACAAGAGGCAGCUGCUCACCUGUCUGCACGCCAUCACGCUCUACAACCGAAUCAAACUGGAGCCAAACAGAGAGUUUGUCCCCCGGACGGUGAUGAUCGGAGGAAAGGCGGCUCCUGGUUACCACAUGGCCAAACUCAUCAUCAAACUGAUCACCUCAGUGGGUCAUGUGAUCAACAAUGACCUGGCGGUCGGAGACAAACUGAAGGUGAUCUUCCUGGAAAACUACAGAGUGUCUCUGGCUGAGAGAGUGAUCCCGGCUGCAGACCUCUCGGAGCAGAUCUCCACAGCAGGAACGGAAGCUUCUGGAACGGGAAACAUGAAGUUCAUGUUGAACGGAGCGCUGACCAUCGGCACCAUGGACGGAGCCACGGUGGAGAUGGCCGAGGAGGCCGGACAGGAAAACCUCUUCAUCUUCGGCAUGAGAGUGAUGGACGUGGAUAAGAUGGACAGGCAGGGCUACAACGCCGCAGAGUUCUACGAGCGUCUGCCGGAGCUGAAACUGGCUGUGGAUCAGAUCCAGAGCGGCUUCUUCAGUCCCACUCAGCCCCAACUCUUCAGAGACCUGACCGACAUGCUGAUGACGCACGACAGGUUUAAGGUGUUUGCUGAUUUCGAGGCCUACGUCAGGUGUCAGGAGAGAGUCAGCGAGCUGUACAAGAACCCCGGAGAGUGGACCAGGAUGGUGAUCCGCAACAUCGCCGCCUCGGGAAAGUUCUCCAGCGACCGCACCAUCUCCCAGUACGCCCGCGAGAUCUGGGGAGUCGAACCAUCUGACGUGAAGAUCCCUCCGCCGAACGAGCCGCCGUUCGAGUCCCGGAUCUGAAGAGUUGAACCGCAGCGUCGAGUAGGUGAUCGAUGUCGACGGCUGGGACGGAGUCUUUGAACACACUCGGUUGAGUUUGCUGGUUGGGUGAACGAGGACGUGUCGGUGUGUCCUCAUUCAGCAGGCUGAGCUGCCUGACCUUCUGUUGGCCUGGAAGCUAAUAUGCUACAAGCUAAUGAGGAUUAGACAGAAGCCGAGUGAAGCCAACAGCAGAACUCUGCGUGUCCAAACAAAUACAAUGGGAUCAAUUUACAAACCAGACUGAGAGGCAGCCUAAAACGUCCAUUUUCUACUGCACUGAAGAAGAAGUGAGACAGAACUACGGCAAGUAAAACUCCGGGGUCAUCAGCAACAAAAUAAAAGAAUAAAACACCUGAACAGGAAGGAGGCGCUGAGCUACCAAAAUAAGAGUCUGGUAGGUCAGAUGAACUCGAGUAUCACAGUGAAAAUCCUGCUGGUUCUUCUCCAGUAUCUGUAAGUCACAGCUGGUUAGCAUAGCUUAGCAUAAAGGUAACAACCGCCAGUUUGUGUCAUCUGGACAAAACCUGACGUGUGCACCAGUUUACUGGGCCACUUGCCACAUUACUGAGACUCUUUUCAUAUCGUUUUGUUUUGAGAGCAUAAGACUAAAAAUCAGAAUUCGCGCACGCCGAGAUGAGCAUGAAUCUGUCAGGGCCCCCUGGUGGACAAACUCUGUCAUGAACGCUCUGUUUGGCUGUACAGUGAGGUAAGACAGUCUUUAGACCUGUCUGAGUCUCUCUGUGACCUCCAGCAGGGCCAACAGAUCCUGUCAGCUGGUGUCUCUGAGUCGAUCUGAGGGCGCUCUGCAGCUUCCAGGCCAACCAGCUCAAUAAACCCAGUGAAACCAGCCAGACCAGUCCGCUGGAGUGUGGCAAACGUGACGUUUAAAUCAACCUUCACAAACCUCCAGCUUCUAUCAGGUUGUUGUGGUGGAGCAGUUUGAUGAGAAAAUGUUUAAAAACUAUCAAUAUGUUUUAUAAUAAAAUGAUCUCAAAUAAAUGUAUGUAAAUAUAAUUACAUUUCUGUAUGUAUUUAUUUAAUAAUUAAUCGU